rnacentral:rRNA from 1 species
GUGAGGAAUAUUGGUCAAUGGGCGAGAGCCUGAACCAGCCAAGUCGCGUGAAGGAUGACGGCCCUACGGGUUGUAAACUUCUUUUGUCAGGGAGCAAUUGAGUCCACGUGUGGGCUUAGCGAGAGUACCUGAAGAAAAAGCAUCGGCUAACUCCGUGCCAGCAGCCGCGGUAAUACGGAGGAUGCGAGCGUUAUCCGGAUUUAUUGGGUUUAAAGGGUGCGUAGGCGGAAUAUCAAGUCAGCGGUAAAAAUUCGGGGCUCAACCCCGUCGUGCCGUUGAAACUGAUGUUCUUGAGUGGGCGAGAAGUAUGCGGAAUGCGUGGUGUAGCGGUGAAAUGCAUAGAUAUCACGCAGAACUCCGAUUGCGAAGGCAGCAUACCGGCGCCCAACUGACGCUGAAGCACGAAAGCGUGGGUAUCGAACAGG